GACGAACGCUGGCGGCGUGCUUAACACAUGCAAGUCGAACGGAAAGGCCCUGCUUUUGUGGGGUGCUCGAGUGGCGAACGGGUGAGUAACACGUGAGUAACCUGCCCUUGACUUUGGGAUAACUUCAGGAAACUGGGGCUAAUACCGGAUAGGAGCUCCUGCUGCAUGGUGGGGGUUGGAAAGUUUCGGCGGUUGGGGAUGGACUCGCGGCUUAUCAGCUUGUUGGUGGGGUAGUGGCUUACCAAGGCCUUGACGGGUAGCCGGCCUGAGAGGGUGACCGGCCACAUUGGGACUGAGAUACGGCCCAGACUCCUACGGGAGGCAGCAGUGGGGAAUAUUGCACAAUGGGCGGAAGCCUGAUGCAGCAACGCCGCGUGCGGGAUGACGGCCUUCGGGUUGUAAACCGCUUUCGCCUGUGACGAAGCGUGAGUGACGGUAAUGGGUAAAGAAGCACCGGCUAACUACGUGCCAGCAGUCGCGGUGAUACGUAGGGUGCGAGCGUUGUCCGGAUUUAUUGGGCGUAAAGGGCUCGUAGGUGGUUGAUCGCGUCGGAAGUGUAAUCUUGGGGCUUAACCCUGAGCGUGCUUUCGAUACGGGUUGACUUGAGGAAGGUAGGGGAGAAUGGAAUUCCUGGUGGAGCGGUGGAAUGCGCAGAUAUCAGGAGGAACACCAGUGGCGAAGGCGGUUCUCUGGGCCUUUCCUGACGCUGAGGAGCGAAAGCGUGGGGAGCGAACAGGCUUAGAUACCCUGGUAGUCCACGCUGUAAACGGUGGGUACUAGGUGUGGGGUCCAUUCCACGGGUUCCGUGCCGUAGCUAACGCUUUAAGUACCCCGCCUGGGGAGUACGGCCGCAAGGCUAAAACUCAAAGGAAUUGACGGGGCCCCGCACAAGCGGCGGAGCAUGCGGAUUAAUUCGAUGCAACGCGUAGAACCUUACCUGGGUUUGACAUGGAUCGGGAGUGCUCAGAGAUGGGUGUGCCUCUUUUGGGGUCGGUUCACAGGUGGUGCAUGGCUGUCGUCAGCUCGUGUCGUGAGAUGUUGGGUUAAGUCCCGCAACGAGCGCAACCCUUGUUCACUGUUGCCAGCACGUUAUGGUGGGGACUCAGUGGAGACCGCCGGGGUCAACUCGGAGGAAGGUGGGGAUGACGUCAAGUCAUCAUGCCCCUUAUGUCCAGGGCUUCACGCAUGCUACAAUGGCUGGUACAGAGAGUGGCGAGCCUGUGAGGGUGAGCGAAUCUCGGAAAGCCGGUCUCAGUUCGGAUUGGGGUCUGCAACUCGACCUCAUGAAGUCGGAGUCGCUAGUAAUCGCAGAUCAGCAACGCUGCGGUGAAUACGUUCCCGGGGCUUGUACACACCGCCCGUCAAGUCAUGAAAGUUGGUAACACCCGAAGCCGGUGGCCUAACCGUUGUGGGGGAGCCGUCGAAGGUGGGACUGGUGAUUAGGGCUAAGUCGUAACAAGGUAACCGUACCGGAAGG
rnacentral:rRNA from 1 species